UUGAAGUGUAGAAAAUCCCCCUUUACGUUGACAAGUUCAAGUGUUGAAAAUCGCCUCUUGAACAAACACCUCCACAACCGGAAACUAAGUUGAAUUUUCAGAAAGUAUUAUUCCUAAUUCUAAGUUUUUUUUUGGGUUGUCGAAAUCCCCUCUUUUGGUUCUCGGCUGAGCAAGGAUUACUCCGAGCGGAUUCGAAGACUCGACGACGAUAAUAGCCUCAGUUCGCUUUCAUUCUUCAUUUGUUGCGAGCUGGUGUAAAACGACUAAUCACACUUAGUAGAAUUAGCAAUUAAUCCAUCAAAAAGUGUGUAACUAUGUUGCCAUUAUGUAUAUCUCUGCUGGACAUGUUUAUCCGAAUUUGUUUUACCUCUUUUGUUUAAAAUCGCGAACGCACUGUAGAUCUUAGAGGAAAGCUAUUCGUUCGUUAAAAAAAAAUAAGAAAGCAAAUAAGC